rnacentral:rRNA from 1 species
AUGCGGAGGGUGCGAGCGUUAAUCGGAAUUACUGGGCGUAAAGCGUACGUAGGCGGUUGGUUAAGUUAGAUGUGAAAGCCCCGGGCUUAACCUGGGAACUGCAUUUAAAACUGACGAACUAGAGUUGAGUAGAGGGGAGUGGAAUUUCAGGUGUAGCGGUGAAAUGCGUAGAGAUCUGAAGGAACACCAGUGGCGAAGGCGACUCCCUGGACUCGAACUGACGCUGAGGUACGAAAGCGUGGGUAGCAAACGGGAUUAGAUACCCCAGUAGUCC